rnacentral:rRNA from 1 species
UACGAAGGGGGCUAGCGUUGCUCGGAAUCAUUGGGCGUAAAGCGCACGUAGGCGGUCUGUUAUGUCGGAUGUGAAAGCCCUUGGCUCAACUGAGGAAGUGCAUCCGAAACUGGCAGGCUAGAGUACGAAAGAGGAUCGCGGAAUUCCCGGUGUAGAGGUGAAAUUCGUAGAUAUCGGGAGGAACACCGGUGGCGAAGGCGGCGAUCUGGGGUCGAUACUGACGCUGAGGUGCGAAAAGCGUGGGGAGCAAACAGG